rnacentral:rRNA from 1 species
GACGAACGCUGGCGGCGUGCUUAACACAUGCAAGUCGAACGGAAAGGCCCUGCUUUUGUGGGGUGCUCGAGUGGCGAACGGGUGAGUAACACGUGAGUAACCUGCCCUUGACUUUGGGAUAACUUCAGGAAACUGGGGCUAAUACCGGAUAGGAGCUCCUGCUGCAUGGUGGGGGUUGGAAAGUUUCGGCGGUUGGGGAUGGACUCGCGGCUUAUCAGCUUGUUGGUGGGGUAGUGGCUUACCAAGGCUUUGACGGGUAGCCGGCCUGAGAGGGUGACCGGCCACAUUGGGACUGAGAUACGGCCCAGACUCCUACGGGAGGCAGCAGUGGGGAAUAUUGCACAAUAGGCGGAAGCCUGAUGCAGCAACGCCGCGUGCGGGAUGACGGCCUUCGGGCUGUAAACCGCUUUCGCCUGUGACGAAGCGUGAGUGACGGUAAUGGGUAAAGAAGCACCGGCUAACUACGUG